UAAACCCUUAAAUCUCUUCCUUGGCA
rnacentral:piRNA from 1 species